rnacentral:rRNA from 1 species
GAUGAACGCUGGCGGCGUGCCUAAUACAUGCAAGUCGAGCGAACAGACGAGGAGCUUGCUCCUCUGACGUUAGCGGCGGACGGGUGAGUAACACGUGGAUAACCUACCUAUAAGACUGGGAUAACUUCGGGAAACCGGAGCUAAUACCGGAUAACAUGUUGAACCGCAUGGUUCAACAGUGAAAGACGGUCUUGCUGUCACUUAUAGAUGGAUCCGCGCCGCAUUAGCUAGUUGGUAAGGUAACGGCUUACCAAGGCAACGAUGCGUAGCCGACCUGAGAGGGUGAUCGGCCACACUGGAACUGAGACACGGUCCAGACUCCUACGGGAGGCAGCAGUAGGGAAUCUUCCGCAAUGGGCGAAAGCCUGGCGGAGCAACGCCGCGUGAGUGAAGAAGGUCUUCGGAUCGUAAAACUCUGUUAUUAGGGAAGAACAAAUGUGUAAGUAACUAUGCACGUCUUGACGGUACCUAAUCAGAAAGCCACGGCUAACUACGUG